rnacentral:misc_RNA from 1 species
UCCCUCCCUUCCCCUCCUCCCUCUACAGGCCUAGCGCCACGAAGGGCGGCGUUCUACGGAGGAAGCUGAUACGCCGCACAGAAGGGGGAUGGAGCGAAAAGAGCAAAUGAGAUAAAAGAAAAAACGAACGAGAUACGCUUAUCGGAAGGCAGCAAACGGUUCCAAAGGUCCGUCGUCGUGCAAAACGAUCUCCCCAGCGGCGCAUUGUGGUUUGCAGAUUUUUGCUGUAGCAGCAGCGGUGCAUAGCAGGCGACAUCGAGCAGGCACCGGCGUUGGACGACGUCUGCCGCGCGAGAGGACGUAAUGCUCUCGGAUUUCGGGAUCGCAGCAGCUGUGCGCGUCACCGCAAAAUGACGUCCGCGUUCUCGGCUCUCCGGUGUUUUUGCUCAUGAUGGGGCGUAUUUCAACGCGGAGGAGGACGUUGCCCGUAGCGUCGCUGGCAUGGACGGGAUUGUAUGCGUUUCUCUGGUGCUCUGCGCUAGCGAUUGCGCAGUCGUCUGACACAUGCCCUGAGCUUCCAGAGCUCAACGUAACAAGGAAUGGAUCCAAUAUCAUCCUACACAGGGCAAAGCCCCUACCCUCUAGUCCAGCGAACGACAGCAGCUGCAUCUGCUAUCCAGUCCUCGACGAUGAACCAGAUCUUGGUAUCACAUGUGAAAAUGCCACACUUAGCAAUGUCACCUGCGAUAAUAUGCCAGUCGAUCAAGACGGAAAGAUUGAGAUUGAGAUCGACGAUGAAAUUUCUUCUGGCCAGGCAUCCAUAUGCCAUAUUUCCAACUGCGGAAAAAAGAACUGCAGCAUUUACGAUGCCAGCAAUGACAUCGCAUCUGUCCGCGACCUGAACAUCACUUUUGUGAAUUCGUCCAUGGCGUUCGUAUCCUGGAGUGUUCAUCAACAUUACGGUCCAGGAGUAAGCCAAUUUCAAGUAACAUGGUGCGCAGAAGAAACCAAUUGUUCAUCAGAUACGACUUGCUUAGAGGAUGGACACCUAACUUCAGAUCAGAACGUCACGGAUACGAGUGCAGUCAUGGAAGAGCUGAGCCCAGCUACAAGCCUGAGGCUGCGAGUGGCGCCUCUAGGUGUUCAAGGGAACUCGUCUUUUGGUUGUAUUGAAAUACCCCCUGAAGAACCUGAACGCAUCGAAAACAUAACAGCUUCUCUACACGGACUGGAUGGCUUACAAGUACAGUGGGCACGGCAGGCACCUUUACACAUCUCGUACGAUCACUACGAGGUUCGCUACUGCGUGAAUAAAGAUGCAAUUUGUCCGGAAGACAAGGAGCGUUACCUCAACGAAUGCAGCAGUGUCGUAUCGGAAAUCGAAUUGAAUCGAAGCAGCUACGACAUACCUAGUUUGAAGCCGAAGAGUGUGGUGGUUGUUGGAGUGGCUUCAAAAAGACGCUAUCCAAACGGAAUGGUGACAAAAUCGGAAGAGACUAUUGACUGCUUCAAGUCGCCUGCUCCUGGAAUUAUCAAAGGAUUUAGCGCCACAGACAUCACCAGCAGAAAUGCUGCUGUGCUGUGGACAUUCGAGCAAGAUGGCUACCAGGAACUGCGUCCCGCUUCAUUCAACGUGACGUGGUGUGUCGCAGCUAAGCAUCAGUGCCCUUCGAAUGCCUCAGCGAGCCUCGUGUGCACAGAGGACAGCCAAAGAACUGUGCGGACGAAAAUUGCCACGCUCAACACGAGUGGUUUGCCUCCUUGGAGUGCGAUAUUAGUGACAGUGGAAGCUUUGUACACGAACGGAAGCGAGCAAGUUUCCCUUGGGGAACCGACUGCCUAUUGCUUCCAGACGCUAGCAGAAGCUCCCGGAAAGCCAAGAGACCUGCGUAUAACCACUGUUGAAUCAACGAGCGCCGUCAUCGAGUGGCGGGAACCAGCAGUGAAAAACGGUCCACUGGACGGUUACAUCCUCAAUGUGUGCGGCGUGAAUGACUCAGUGGAAAACAACUGCACAGAAUCUACAAGUCUACAGGUCAUGAUCAACAAUUCCUUGACGCCUUCGCACACGUUGAGAGGUCUCGAUCCGUGGACUAAGUACACGGUUACCUUGACGGCAUUCAACAGAGAUUUCGAUGGCUCCGAAAUGAUCAGCGACGGGUCCACCGAAGUGUUCCGUACGGACGCAGUGGCUCCGGGUAGCGUAACCAGUCUCUCCGUCGUAGGCGUCACCAAUCGCAGUAUAUCGCUGAGCUGGAGCAAGCCUGAUUUUAGAGGUGGCAAUGUAGACCACUACGAGGUUACACACUGCACCGUGGACAACUGCGAUGCUACUGCCGACGUAUCCAGCGGACUCGAUACAGAGUCGAGCGGCUGCCACACUCAGCGAGAGACGGCGGAGGCAACGCAGCUUACAAACUUGCAGCCCUGGAAGUUUGUCGCUAUUCGUGUGGCCACCGUGAACAUCAUGAAGAACGGUAGUCGGCUCCUCGGAGAGGCUGCGACCAUUUGUCAGAGGACAAAAAGAGGAGUGCCCGGAAGACCAGAAGACGUGAGAACAACAGCCAACAAAGACUCAAUCGAGAUCCAUUGGAAGCGCCCGCUUGUGCCUAAUGGAGAUGUAUCCCAAUACAAAGUCGUCGUUUGCAGUGAAGACGAGAACAAUGAAACUAAGUGCGAAACCCGCACAGUUCUUGGAGGUGAAACUCACACGCUCAUCAACCAUCUGGUACCAUGGACUCUGUACUCAGUGUCAGUGGCUGCACAGAACAUUGAGGACACCACUGUGUUGGAAAGCGAAUCAGUGAGGACAACUGUGAAAACGCUUGCUGCGGCCCCCUCCAAGCCGAUGAACUUGAAUUCGACAGAACUACACCACUCAGUCAACAUCUCCUGGGAUGAGCCGGAAUUGAAACGGGGCCCACUUCAUGGCUAUAACAUAUCAUGGAUCCUCGAAGACUGGCUUGGCCGAAUGACGUCGGCGGGAUCGAUGGUUACAAACAACACCGCAGUCCAGCUUUCAACAUGGAAACCGUACUCUAAUUACACGUUGUCUGUGAGAGCGUUUCAUCAGAUUGAAGAUGGUGAACCUCUCUACGGUGAUGCGGCGCUGAUGGCUUUCAAAACGGCUGCGGACGCUCCGGAUCAAGCAAAGCUUGACACGGUGAUAGGAUCACGAUCAGCUGCUAUUUCUAUGAGUGUGCACGGUUCUCCAAACGGACCCUUGGAUGGUUUUUUCUGGUGUAACUACGUCAUCAGCAAGGACAGCAGGGCCCACAAUGAAAAUGGCAACCCAUCAGUCUGCGCCGAAGAAUCAAGGACAACGCAACGGCUCCUGCUCCUGGAGGGUCUCAAGCCGUGGACUUUUUACAAGUUCGCCGCACGCGCCUACAACCUUGACAGAACAGGGUCUCCUUUGGAGGGGAAGGAGACGUGGACUUUCUACAGGACGAACCCGGACGCACCUUCGUUUCCCGGCAACUUUUCGGUGGCCCGUUGCGAGUCCAGGCGGCUCUACGUCAACUGGUCUGAACCCGUCGAGAAAAACGGGGAACUCGAGGGCUACGUCCUCUCCUGGAACCUCAGUGCUGAUGGCCGUGAGGUCAACCAUACGGACCUCGGCUCGCGAAGCACUGUGAUACGGUGGCUGGAACCGUUCACCGAAUAUAUGCUGGAACUGCGUGCCUACAAUGUGUUUGGCUCGAAGCGCUUAGAGGGUCCUGCAGUUCGAAUCCUUUCUCGUACACUGUCCGAAGCACCCGGUCCUGUUGUGGGCCUAGACGCGACGGCGUUCAAGAAUAACACCGUGCAGCUCACUUGGCGUCCCCCGAUUCAGCCAAGAGGAGAGCUUCAGAGCUACGUGGUCAUCUACAACGCCACUAAGCCAGGCAAGCCAGCGAUAACGAAUGUUCCUAGCGACUUCCUGACGGCCUCAAGCACGUGCCGAGGAAUGCCUGCUGUGUGCACCUUUGAGGUGGAGGAACUGCCAGCCGAAUACGUCUACACCUUCGACGUGCGUGGUAUCAACGUUAAUGUCAGCGCUUGGGGUGAUGCACUUGAAUCGCCGGUUCAUGUCGAGGUUCCCGCUGGAGAUCCUCCGCCUCCGAAGAACAUGUCAAUGGUGGCCAGCGACUGCCCAUCCGCGCCGGAGCCGGACACACAGAAGUCGUUCCUGAUUUCCAGAAACAUGUUCGACGAGAGGAACGGCGAGAUAAGACGGUACGCCGUGGUCGUUGGAUCCGCCGAGCUUAUUCACGAAGAUGUUGAAAAUACUACCACAUGGAAGGACCUCGCAAGAAACCACCGUACUCCUCCACACGUGGUUACACCACAAGACUGGAACCCUUUCAGUAAGGCGAAAGACGAUGAUGACCCACUGAACUGCGAGCCACUGCGAGGUCGAGAAGGAACUCUCAUAUGUACCAUCGGCUAUGAAAGUUGUGAUGACGACCGGGAGACUCCCUGCAAUGGGCCUUUGAGAGGUGGAACCGAAUACGCGAUGUACGUCAUCGGGUACACGAAAGGUGGGAGACGUGCCAGUAUUCCUGAGGUGUUCGUUACAGCACUUCCAGAGGAGCCAAGCUCGGCAGGAGCAAUCGCAGGUGGAAUCCUGACCGCCAUCAUAAUAAUGGCUGCCAUCCUUGUGGUGCUCGUGAUUCACAGGAGGCGCCUGGCGCGAAGCAAGCGAGCUCGAAAAGACCGUCUGCUGAAGCGAGCAACAUGAAUAAUUCGCUCGUGCAUUUGGUGCAGAUGUCCGAUGUUAACGGGUCGACAACCAAGCCCAACCCGACUUUGAUGCAAGACGAGAUAGAAAUGGAACAUCACGUCAUCAAAGACAUCAACAAGCCCAUACCUAAGGCAGAAUUCCGGGACCACCUUGCGAUGAUGAUGCAGGAUUCAGCCUACAGGUUCGCCGAUGAGUACGAG